rnacentral:rRNA from 1 species
AUUGAACGCUGGCGGCAGGCCUAACACAUGCAAGUCGAGCGGAUGAAGGGAGCUUGCUCCUGGAUUCAGCGGCGGACGGGUGAGUAAUGCCUAGGAAUCUGCCUGGUAGUGGGGGAUAACGUGCGGAAACGGGCGCUAAUACCGCAUACGUCCUGAGGGAGAAAGUGGGGGAUCUUCGGACCUCACGCUAUCAGAUGAGCCUAGGUCGGAUUAGCUAGUCGGUGGGGUAAAGGCCUACCCAGGCGACGAUCCGUAACUGGUCUGAGAGGAUGAUCAGUCACACUGGAACUGAGACACGGUCCAGACUCCUAAGGGAGGCCGCAGUGGGGAAUAUUGGACAAUGGGCGAAAGCCUUAUCCAGCCAUGCCGCGUGUGUGAAGAAGGUCUUCGGAUUGUAAAGCCCUUUAAGUUGGGAGGAAGGGCAGUAAGUUAAUACCUUGCUGUUUUGACGUUACCAACAGAAUAAGCACCGGCUAACUUCGUG